AGUGAACGCUGGCGGUAGGCCUAACACAUGCAAGUCGAACGGCAGCACAGUAAGAGCUUGCUCUUACGGGUGGCGAGUGGCGGACGGGUGAGGAAUACAUCGGAAUCUACUUUUUCGUGGGGGAUAACGUAGGGAAACUUACGCUAAUAGCGCAUACGACCUACGGGUGAAAGCAUGGGAUCUUCGGACCUUGCGCGAGUGAAUGAGCCGAUGUCGGAUUAGCUAGUUGGCGGGGUAAAGGCCCACCAAGGCGACGAUCCGUAGCUGGUCUGAGAGGAUGAUCAGCCACACUGGAACUGAGACACGGUCCAGACUCCUACGGGAGGCAGCAGUGGGGAAUAUUGGACAAUGGGCGCAAGCCUGAUCCAGCCAUACCGCGUGGGUGAAGAAGGCCUUCGGGUUGUAAAGCCCUUUUGUUGGGAAAGAAAAGCAGCAGGUUAAUACCCCGCUGUUCUGACGGUACCCAAAGAAUAAGCACCGGCUAACUUCGUG
rnacentral:rRNA from 1 species